UACAGAGGUCUCAAGCGUUGUUCGGAUUCAUUGGGCGUAAAGGGUGCGUAGGCGGCGUGGUAAGUCGGGUGUGAAAUCUCGGAGCUUAACUCCGAAACUGCAUUCGAUACUGCCGUGCUUGAGGACUGGAGAGGAGACUGGAAUUCAUGGUGUAGCAGUGAAAUGCGUAGAGAUCAUGAGGAAGACCAGUGGCGAAGGCGGGUCUCUGGACAGUUCCUGACACUGAGACACGAAGGCCAGGGGAGCAAACGGG
rnacentral:rRNA from 1 species